rnacentral:rRNA from 1 species
UACGGGGGGAGCAAGCGUUGUUCGGAUUUACUGGGCGUAAAGGGCGCGUAGGCGGCCACCGCAAGUCGACUGUGAAAUCCCACGGCUCAACCGUGGAAGUGCAUCCGAAACUGCAUCGCUCGAGUCUCGGAGAGGAAGGUGGAAUGCUUGGUGUAGAGGUGAAAUUCGUAGAUAUCAAGCAGAACACCUGCGGCGAAGGCGGCCUUCUGGACGAGUG